UAUAUACUCUCUCCGUUCGGAAUUACUUGUCUCAGAAAUGGAUGUAUCUAGAACUAAAAUACGUCUAUAUACAUCCAUUUUCGUGAAAAGUAAUUCCGAACGGAGGAAAUAUAUA
rfam:Triticum aestivum genome assembly, contig: Triticum_aestivum_CS42_TGACv1_scaffold_499413_6BL